GAUGAAGAACGUAGCGAAAUGCGAUAAGUAAUGUGAAUUGCAGAAUUCAGUGAAUCAUCGAAUCUUUGAACGCACAUUGCGCCCGCCAGUAUUCUGGCGGGCAUGCCUGUUCGAGCGUCAUUACAACCCUCAGGCCCCCGGGCCUGGCGUUGGGGAUCGGCGGAAGCCCCCUGUGGGCACACGCCGUCCCUCAAAUACAGUGGCGGUCCCGCCGCAGCUUCCAUUGCGUAGUAGCUAACACCUCGCAACUGGAGAGCGGCGCGGCCAUGCCGUAAAACACCCAACUUCUGAAUGUUGACCUCGAAUCAGGUAGGAAUACCCGCUGAUCUUAAGCAUAUCAAUAAGCGGAGGA
rnacentral:misc_RNA from 1 species